GCAGCAGUAGGGAAUCUUCCGCAAUGGACGAAAGUCUGACGGAGCAACGCCGCGUGAGUGAUGAAGGCUUUCGGGUCGUAAAACUCUGUUGUUAGGGAAGAACAAGUGCUAGUUGAAUAAGCUGGCACCUUGACGGUACCUAACCAGAAAGCCACGGCUAACUACGUGCCAGCAGCCGCGGUAAUACGUAGGUGGCAAGCGUUAUCCGGAAUUAUUGGGCGUAAAGCGCGCGCAGGUGGUUUCUUAAGUCUGAUGUGAAAGCCCACGGCUCAACCGUGGAGGGUCAUUGGAAACUGGGAGACUUGAGUGCAGAAGAGGAAAGUGGAAUUCCAUGUGUAGCGGUGAAAUGCGUAGAGAUAUGGAGGAACACCAGUGGCGAAGGCGACUUUCUGGUCUGUAACUGACACUGAGGCGCGAAAGCGUGGGGAGCAAACAGGAUUAGAUACCCAGGUAGUCCACGCCGUAAACGAUGAGUGCUAAGUGUUAGAGGGUUUCCGCCCUUUAGUGCUGAAGUUAACGCAUUAAGCACUCCGCCUGGGGAGUACGGCCGCAAGGCUGAAACUCAAAGGAAUUGAC
rnacentral:rRNA from 1 species